UGAUAUAAGUAACUGCACUUUUCUGUCAACCAAUCGCAAUUAAUUUUAAAAUGAAAAUAAUUUAAUUACAAACAGCGGAGUAUAAGGUUGCGUGUGAAAAUUUAUUCAUAGAUACAAGUUGUAAGACUUUGAAACUGAAAAAAUGGAGCGGGCAGAACUAUUAGACAGAGAGACAUUGCGCGUAGAAUUCCCUGCUAUAGAGAAGGACAAAGUACUACAGCUGUGAGCACAGGCGCCGUAAGCCAUAAGAGAGUGCGCAGCUUUACUAUAGAGCAAUGUUUUGGGUUAUCUGUUGGUAAACACGUCGUGUAUUGUGAAAAUAAAUUAAAAAUGACAAAAAAAAGUGUUUUUUAUGCCAAAAAACUGACUCAGUUAUUCUUUUUAACGACAAGUCAUUCGAAAAUUGUUCUAUAAAAUUAUCAUUCCGGCGUUUAAAAGGUUUUAAAUAUGCUGACGUCAAUUUAACCAAAGACUCAAUUGAUGUUGAAGGUUAUCACUCUUCUUGCUAUAAAAAAGUUUUAAAAAAUAUUUACAAUGAUGAAUUUGAUUUAUUUGUAAAAAAUCUUGAAUUAUUUAAAGGCAAUCUACAUCCAAAAUCGUUGACAACAACUUCUGAGGAUACUGAGGAUAAAGAAAAUAAUGGUGAUGUGGUAACUCCUUCUCCUGAUAAAAUUAAUAAGGUACGGUCUAUGGACACAGUAUUAACAACACAACAAAAUUACAGUAACUACACAUCUAAAACUCCAGCAACUCAAGUAACUCCAGCAACUCUAGUCACUCAAGUAACUCCAGCAACUCAAGGUAUCUAAUAUUUUCUAAAAGUUUUUCUGCGAAAGAAGAUAAUGAAAAUUUUCUCAAAAAAGUUAAAAGUUUUGACUCGAAUACAAUACCACCAUGCUGGGAAUCACUCAAACAAAAAAUUUUACAAACUAUUUAUGUAAAUUCGAUGUGGCUACAUGCAACUGACCCAAAUUGUGUGAAAUUAAAUCCUGAAAAUUGUGGUUGGAUCCUAGAUGGAUAUUUUAAACCAAAAGUAUUUGCUGGAGACCAAACACCUUUGAAAAUAAAUGAUAUUAUUGAAAUGACAGAAAAAGACAACGACGAAGCUUCCCCUGAUUUAGAAAACGAUACAACUUCCGGUGACUCUGAUCCUGAAUAAAAAUUAUUUAUUACUGUUUAGUAAUGUUACUUAUUUUAAUGUAUUUAUUAUUGAAUAAAAAAUUUUUUAUUUUCCUGCUAAACAAGAAUUAAAAAUUUUUUGAAAAAUAUUGUUUGUUUUUUCUUUUGUUUGUUUUAAAUACAUUUUUCG